GACAGAGGUGCCAAGCGUUAGGCGGAAUCACUGGGCUUAAAGCGUGUGUAGGCGGAUCGUUAAGUACCUUGUGAAAUCCCACGGCUCAACCGUGGAACUGCUCGGUAUACUGGCGAUCUUGAGCUGUCUAGGGGCUACCGGAACAAAUGGUGGAGCGGUAAAAUGCGUAGAUAUCAUUUGGAACGCCAAUGGUGAAACCAGGUAGCUGGGGACAUGCUGACGCUGAGACACGAAAGCCAGGGGAGCAAACGGG
rnacentral:rRNA from 1 species